GCCCUAACUUUAAAGUAGGAGGAAAAGUAAAAGGAGGAAAGGGCAGCGCUUCCCUGCCCGGCACAUCCGCUGUGCAGAGGAGAGGCAGGCUGUGCUGCUGCUCGCUUCCACAGGGUGGUGAGGCAGGACAACGUCUGAGCUCACGGGCACCUAAAAGCGUUAAGGUGACCCGUUUAACCAACGCCCACUGAGCUGACGAGGGGGAAUCCGGCACCACUGGGAAGAGCCAGCUGAGAGCCUUGGGAACUGCAACACUUGCCUGCUGCAGCUGCCUGAGAGACACAGGCACAGAGAAGGGACAGAGUUCUCAAUACUCCUAUAAGCCUCAAAACUCUGAUAUAUCUUUCCUGACUGAGGCCGUUAGAAAUUACCAGGGACCUACAGACAUUGCAGUCCUUCCCCUUGGCAAAGAUCUGGAGCACUGUCAAAUGAAAUACCCCUGCACUCACUUGGUCUGGUCCUGGUGCCCUUUGGGGAAGGCUGCUGUGGAGGCAAUGCCUCCCUACAGUUCUGGGUCUGCUUUUAGUCUCUGAAAGAACAGCAGCAAGCCUGAUUUGCCCCCAAAAUUUCGACCAUCCUUUGGCUGCGACGGAAAGGUGAUGGAAAUCAGGAUUUCAUCCAGUACCUUUUCAUCAUCAGGGAAGAGCUAAAACAGAGGGAAAGAAGGGAUAAGAGCUGAGGAAAAACUCCUUCAGUAGCCAAGCCAAGGUUGACUGGAUAGAAGGGAGCUGUCCUGAUACCAACAGAACCCCAGAGGAGCUGAGAAUCGUUCCUUGUGCCAUCCUACCUCCACCUGUCUGUCAGGUAUGU